CAAGUCGAGCGAACAGAUAAGGAGCUUGCUCCUUUGACGUUAGCGGCGGACGGGUGAGUAACACGUGGGUAACCUACCUAUAAGACUGGGAUAACUUCGGGAAACCGGAGCUAAUACCGGAUAAUAUAUCGAACCGCAUGGUUCGAUAGUGAAAGAUGGUUUUGCUAUCACUUAUAGAUGGACCCGCGCCGUAUUAGCUAGUUGGUAAGGUAACGGCUUACCAAGGCGACGAUACGUAGCCGACCUGAGAGGGUGAUCGGCCACACUGGAACUGAGACACGGUCCAGACUCCUACGGGAGGCAGCAGUAGGGAAUCUUCCGCAAUGGGCGAAAGCCUGACGGAGCAACGCCGCGUGAGUGAUGAAGGUCUUCGGAUCGUAAAACUCUGUUAUUAGGGAAGAACAUACGUGUAAGUAACUAUGCACGUCUUGACGGUACCUAAUCAGAAAGCCACGGCUAACUACGUGCCAGCAGCCGCGGUAAUACGUAGGUGGCAAGCGUUAUCCGGAAUUAUUGGGCGUAAAGCGCGCGUAGGCGGUUUUUUAAGUCUGAUGUGAAAGCCCACGGCUCAACCGUGGAGGGUCAUUGGAAACUGGAAAACUUGAGUGCAGAAGAGGAAAGUGGAAUUCCAUGUGUAGCGGUGAAAUGCGCAGAGAUAUGGAGGAACACCAGUGGCGAAGGCGACUUUCUGGUCUGCAACUGACGCUGAUGUGCGAAAGU
rnacentral:rRNA from 1 species